AGGGAUCAAAUUAUAUUUAUAAGGUAAUAAAGGCAGUUAAAUAUUAUAUUAAAAGUUUGUUGAUUUUUUAUGUAAAGGUAAAAUUUAAACAUAAAAUAAUAAUAUUAUCCAAACUAUUAAUAUUGAAUCUGCGACAACCUAGAGGGAAACUGGGAUUAGAUACCCCAUUAUUCUUGGAUUUAAAUAAAUGUAAAUUUACCAGAGUACUAUGAAUCACGUUAAAAAUUUAAAACUCAAAGAGCUUGGCGGUGUUUUAGACCUCUCAGGGGAACCUGUCUCUUAAUCGACAAUCCACGGUAAACCUAACCUUUUUUAGCAUAACAGUUUGUAUACCAUCGUCGUCAGGUAACUUUUAAAAAUUUAGAAGUUGGCAACUAAAUAUUUGUAAAUUUAAACGUCAGAUCAAGGUGCAGCUUAUAUAAGGGUGAGGAUGGGUUACAAUUAAUAAUUAUAAAUACGGAUAUAAUAAUGAAAUACGUGUUAUAAUGAAGGAGGACUUGAAAGUAAGAAUAACUUAUAUAAAAAUAAUCUGAAUUAGGCUCUGAAACAUGC
rnacentral:rRNA from 1 species